AGAGUUUGAUCAUGGCUCAGAAUGAACGCUGGCGGCGCGCCUAACACAUGCAAGUCGAACGAGAAAUCUCGAGCUUGCUCGAGAAAGUAAAGUGGCGCACGGGUGAGUAACGCGUGGGUAACUUGUCCUUGAAUCUGGGAUAAUCCACCGAAAGAUGGCCUAWUACCGGAUAUAGUUCCGAGAACCGUGGUUCUCGGGAUGAAAGCUGAUCUCUUCUUGAAAAUUGGCGUUUAAGGAGGGGCCCGCGUACCAUUAGCUUGUUGGUAGGGUAAAGGCCUACCAAGGCCACGAUGGUUAGCUGGUCUGAGAAGACGGCCUGCCACACUGGAACUGAAACACGGUCCAGACUCCUACGGGAGGCAGC
rnacentral:rRNA from 1 species